AACGAACGCUGGCGGCAGGCUUAACACAUGCAAGUCGAACGCCCCGCAAGGGGAGUGGCAGACGGGUGAGUAACGCGUGGGAACGUGCCCUUCGCUUCGGAAUAGCCCCGGGAAACUGGGAGUAAUACCGAAUACGCCGUAUUGGGAAAGGUUUAUCGGCGAAGGAUCGGCCCGCGUUAGAUUAGCUAGUUGGCGGUGUAAUGGACCACCAAGGCUACGAUCUAUAGCUGGUCUGAGAGGAUGAUCAGCCACACUGGGACUGAGACACGGCCCAGACUCCUACGGGAGGCAGCAGUGGGGAAUCUUGGACAAUGGGCGCAAGCUUGAUCCAGCCAUGCCGCGUGAGUGAAGAAGGCCUUAGGGUUGUAAAACUCUUUUGUCCGGGAAGAUAAUGACUGUACCGGAAGAAUAAGCCCCGGCUAACUUCGUGCCAGCCGCCGCAGUAACAC
rnacentral:rRNA from 1 species